rnacentral:rRNA from 1 species
AGUGAACGCCGGCGGUAGGCCUAACACAUGCAAGUCGAACGGCAGCACAGUAAGAGCUUGCUCUUACGGGUGGCGAGUGGCGGACGGGUGAGGAAUACAUCGGAAUCUACUUUUUCGUGGGGGAUAACGUAGGGAAACUUACGCUAAUACCGCAUACGACCUACGGGUGAAAGCAGGGGAUCUUCGGACCUUGCGCGAUUGAAUGGGCCGAUGUCGGAUUAGCUAGUUGGCGGGGUAAAGGCCCACCAAGGCGACGAUCCGUAGCUGGUCUGAGAGGAUGAUCAGCCACACUGGAACUGAGACACGGUCCAGACUCCUACGGGAGGCAGCAGUGGGGAAUAUUGGACAAUGGGCGCAAGCCUGAUCCAGCCAUACCGCGUGGGUGAAGAAGGCCUUCGGGUUGUAAAGCCCUUUUGUUGGGAAAGAAAAGCAGCAGGUUAAUACCCCGCUGUUCUGACGGUACCCAAAGAAUAAGCACCGGCUAACUUCGUG